GAUGAACGCUAGCGGGAGGCCUAACACAUGCAAGCCGAGCGGUAUUGUUUCUUCGGAAAUGAGAGAGCGGCGUACGGGUGCGUAACACGUGUGCAACCUGCCUUUAUCUGGGGGAUAGCCUUUCGAAAGGAAGAUUAAUACUCCAUAAUAUAUUGAACGGCAUCGUUUAAUAUUGAAAGCUCCGGCGGAUAGAGAUGGGCACGCGCAAGAUUAGCUAGUUGGUGAGGUAACGGCUCACCAAGGCGAUGAUCUUUAGGGGGCCUGAGAGGGUGAUCCCCCACACUGGUACUGAGACACGGACCAGACUCCUACGGGAGGCAGCAGUGAGGAAUAUUGGUCAAUGGGUGCAAGCCUGAACCAGCCAUCCCGUGUGAAGGACGACUGCCCUAUGGGUUGUAAACUUCUUUUGUAUAGGGAUAAACCUACCCUCGAGAGGGUAGCUGAAGGUACUAUACGAAUAAGCACCGGCUAACUCCGUG
rnacentral:rRNA from 1 species